rnacentral:rRNA from 1 species
UACGUAGGUCGCAAGCGUUGUCCGGAUUUACUGGGCGUAAAGAGCGCGCAGGCGGCUGGUUAAGUCCGAUGUGAAAUCUUCCGGCUCAACUGGGAAACUGCAUCGGAAACUGAUCGGCUUGAAGGUGGGAGAGGGUAGUGGAAUUCCCGGUGUAGUGGUGAAAUGCGUAGAGAUCCGGAGGAACACCAGUGGCGAAGGCGACACGCUGGGCCGUAACUGACGCUAAAGCGCGACAGCAUGGGGAGCAAACGGG